rnacentral:rRNA from 1 species
CGGUAGGUGGCAAGCGUUGUCCGGAAUUAUUGGGCGUAAAGCGCGCGCAGGCGGCUUCUUAAGUCCAUCUUAAAAAGUGCGGGGCUUAACCCCGUGAUGGGAUGGAAACUGAGAGGCUGGAGUAUCGGAGAGGAAAGUGGAAUUCCUAGUGUAGCGGUGAAAUGCGUAGAGAUUAGGAAGAACACCGGUGGCGAAAGGCGACUUUCUGGACGACAACUGACGCUGAGGCGCGAAAGCGUGGGGAGCAA